rnacentral:rRNA from 1 species
UACAGAGGGGGCAAGCGUUGUUCGGAAUUACUGGGCGUAAAGGGCGCGUAGGUGGCGCUGUAAGUCGGGUGUGAAAUUUCGGAGCUUAACUCCGAAACUGCAUUCGAUACUGCGGUGCUCGAGGACUGGAGAGGAGACUGGAAUUCAUGGUGUAGCAGUGAAAUGCGUAGAGAUCAUGAGGAAGACCAGUGGCGAAGGCGGGUCUCUGGACAGUUCCUGACACUGAGGCACGAAGGCCAGGGGAGCAAACGGG